UUCCUGGGUUGGAGGGAAUGGGAGACAAUGAAACGGGUGCUGGAGGGUAGAGGAGGUCUGAGGGACUUCUUGGCAGGACUAUGUGAACCAGAAUGGAAUGAGCAAAUUACAGACCCCACAGUCUCUGCUCUGACAGAGAUUGCCAGAGUUUGAAAUAGACCUGAUAGGGUUACUGCAGGUUACCAGAACCGGGAAGUCAUGUGGCAGCCAAGCUAAUAUCCAAAGAUCACCCAAAGAGUAUUUCAUGUGAUCAGGAAGAGUCUCUGUUUAAUUGACAACUGCCUCCCACUUCCCAUCCCCUUCACGUGUAGCAGGAGUCACAGCUGUCUGUAUGCAGGUACUUUACUCGACCCUAUCCAAACUAUUAAUAGGAAAAAGUACUUUUUCAGUAGUCUAAGUAGUCACAA
rnacentral:lncRNA from 1 species